GGGUGUAGCUCAGUUGGUAGAGCAUCUCGUUUACACCGAGAGGGUCGGGAGUUCGAGUCUCUCACCGCCCACCA
rnacentral:tRNA from 1 species